GGUUAAGCGACUAAGCGUACACGGUGGAUGCCCUGGCAGUCAGAGGCGAUGAAGGACGUGCUAAUCUGCGAAAAGCGUCGGUAAGGUGAUAUGAACCGUUAUAACCGGCGAUGUCCGAAUGGGGAAACCCAGUGCAAUUCGUUGCACUAUCGUUAACUGAAUACAUAGGUUAACGAGGCGAACCGGGGGAACUGAAACAUCUAAGUACCCCGAGGAAAAGAAAUCAACCGAGAUUCCCCCAGUAGCGGCGAGCGAACGGGGAGCAGCCCAGAGUCUGAAUCAGCUUGUGUGUUAGUGGAACGGUCUGGAAAGUCCGACGGUACAGGGUGAUAGUCCCGUACACCAAAAUGCACAGGCUGUGAACUCGAAGAGUAGGGCGGGACACGUGGUAUCCUGUCUGAAUAUGGGGGGACCAUCCUCCAAGGCUAAAUACUCCUGACUGACCGAUAGUGAACCAGUACCGUGAGGGAAAGGCGAAAAGAACCCCGGCGAGGGGAGUGAAAAAGAACCUGAAACCGUGUACGUACAAGCAGUGGGAGCACCUUCGGGUGUGACUGCGUACCUUUUGUAUAAUGGGUCAGCGACUUAUAUUCUGUAGCAAGGUUAACCGUAUAGGGGAGCCGCAGGGAAACCGAGUCUUAACUGGGCGUUAAGUUGCAGGGUAUAGACCCGAAACCCGGUGAUCUAGCCAUGGGCAGGUUGAAGGUUGGGUAACACUAACUGGAGGACCGAACCGACUAAUGUUGAAAAAUUAGCGGAUGACUUGUGGCUGGGGGUGAAAGGCCAAUCAAACCGGGAGAUAGCUGGUUCUCCCCGAAAGCUAUUUAGGUAGCGCCUCGUGAAUUCAUCUUCGGGGGUAGAGCACUGUUUCGGCUAGGGGGUCAUCCCGACUUACCAACCCGAUGCAAACUACGAAUACCGAAGAAUGUUAUCACGGGAGACACACGGCGGGUGCUAACGUCCGUCGUGAAGAGGGAAACAACCCAGACCGCCAGCUAAGGUCCCAAAGUCAUGGUUAAGUGGGAAACGAUGUGGGAAGGCACAGACAGCCAGGAUGUUGGCUUAGAAGCAGCCAUCAUUUAAAGAAAGCGUAAUAGCUCACUGGUCGAGUCGGCCUGCGCGGAAGAUGUAACGGGGCUAAACCAUGCACCGAAGCUGCGGCAGCGACACUAUGUGUUGUUGGGUAGGGGAGCGUUCUGUAAGCCUGCGAAGGUGUGCUGUGAGGCAUGCUGGAGGUAUCAGAAGUGCGAAUGCUGACAUAAGUAACGAUAAAGCGGGUGAAAAGCCCGCUCGCCGGAAGACCAAGGGUUCCUGUCCAACGUUAAUCGGGGCAGGGUGAGUCGACCCCUAAGGCGAGGCCGAAAGGCGUAGUCGAUGGGAAACAGGUUAAUAUUCCUGUACUUGGUGUUACUGCGAAGGGGGACGGAGAAGGCUAUGUUAGCCGGGCGACGGUUGUCCCGGUUUAAGCAUGUAGGCUGGUUGUCCAGGCAAAUCCGGAUAAUCAAGGCUGAGGUGUGAUGACGAGGCACUACGGUGCUGAAGUAACAAAUGCCCUGCUUCCAGGAAAAGCCUCUAAGCAUCAGGUAACAUCAAAUCGUACCCCAAACCGACACAGGUGGUCAGGUAGAGAAUACCAAGGCGCUUGAGAGAACUCGGGUGAAGGAACUAGGCAAAAUGGUGCCGUAACUUCGGGAGAAGGCACGCUGGUGUGUAGGUGAAGCCCCUGCGGGUGGAGCUGAGACCAGUCGAAGAUACCAGCUGGCUGCAACUGUUUAUUAAAAACACAGCACUGUGCAAACACGAAAGUGGACGUAUACGGUGUGACGCCUGCCCGGUGCCGGAAGGUUAAUUGAUGGGGUUAUCCGUAAGGAGAAGCUCUUGAUCGAAGCCCCGGUAAACGGCGGCCGUAACUAUAACGGUCCUAAGGUAGCGAAAUUCCUUGUCGGGUAAGUUCCGACCUGCACGAAUGGCGUAAUGAUGGCCAGGCUGUCUCCACCCGAGACUCAGUGAAAUUGAACUCGCUGUGAAGAUGCAGUGUACCCGCGGCAAGACGGAAAGACCCCGUGAACCUUUACUAUAGCUUGACACUGAACAUUGAGCCUUGAUGUGUAGGAUAGGUGGGAGGCUUUGAAGCGUGGACGCCAGUCUGCGUGGAGCCAACCUUGAAAUACCACCCUUUAAUGUUUGAUGUUCUAACGUUGGCCCCUGACCGGGGUUGCGGACAGUGUCUGGUGGGUAGUUUGACUGGGGCGGUCUCCUCCCAAAGCGUAACGGAGGAGCACGAAGGUUAGCUAAUCCUGGUCGGACAUCAGGAGGUUAGUGCAAUGGCAUAAGCUAGCUUGACUGCGAGCGUGACGGCGCGAGCAGGUGCGAAAGCAGGUCAUAGUGAUCCGGUGGUUCUGAAUGGAAGGGCCAUCGCUCAACGGAUAAAAGGUACUCCGGGGAUAACAGGCUGAUACCGCCCAAGAGUUCAUAUCGACGGCGGUGUUUGGCACCUCGAUGUCGGCUCAUCACAUCCUGGGGCUGAAGUAGGUCCCAAGGGUAUGGCUGUUCGCCAUUUAAAGUGGUACGCGAGCUGGGUUUAGAACGUCGUGAGACAGUUCGGUCCCUAUCUGCCGUGGGCGCUGGAGAAUUGAGGGGGCUGCUCCUAGUACGAGAGGACCGGAGUGGACGCAUCACUGGUGUUCGGGUUGUCAUGCCAAUGGCACUGCCCGGUAGCUAAAUGCGGAAGAGAUAAGUGCUGAAAGCAUCUAAGCACGAAACUUGCCCCGAGAUGAGUUCUCCCUGAGACUUUAAGUCUCCUGAAGGAACGUUAAAGACGAUGACGUUGAUAGGCCGGGUGUGUAAGCGCAGCGAUGCGUUGAGCUAACCGGUACUAAUGAACCGUGAGGCUUAACCUU
rnacentral:rRNA from 1 species